rnacentral:rRNA from 1 species
AUGAACGCUAGCGACAGGCUUAACACAUGCAAGUCGAGGGGCAGCACAGGUAGCAAUACCGGGUGGCGACCGGCGCACGGGUGAGUAACGCGUAUGCAACUUGCCUAUCAGAGGGGGAUAACCCGGCGAAAGUCGGACUAAUACCGCAUGAAGCAGGGAUCCCGCAUGGGAAUAUUUGCUAAAGAUUCAUCGCUGAUAGAUAGGCAUGCGUUCCAUUAGGCAGUUGGCGGGGUAACGGCCCACCAAACCGACGAUGGAUAGGGGUUCUGAGAGGAAGGUCCCCCACAUUGGUACUGAGACACGGACCAAACUCCUACGGGAGGCAGCAGUGAGGAAUAUUGGUCAAUGGCCGAGAGGCUGAACCAGCCAAGUCGCGUGAGGAAUGAAGGUUCUAUGGAUCGUAAACCUCUUUUAUAAGGGAAUAAAGUGCGGGACGUGUCCCGUUUUGUAUGUACCUUAUGAAUAAGGAUCGGCUAACUCCGUGCCAGCAGCCGCGGUAAUACGGAGGAUCCGAGCGUUAUCCGGAUUUAUUGGGUUUAAAGGGUGCGAAGGCGGCCUUUUAAGUCAGCGGUGAAAGUCUGUGGCUCAACCAUAGAAUUGCCGUUGAAACUGGGGGGCUUGAGUAUGUUUGAGGCAGGCGGAAUGCGUGGUGUAGCGGUGAAAGGCAUAGAUAUCACGCAGAACCCCGAUUGCGAAGGCAGCCUGCCAAGCCAUGACUGACGCUGAUGCACGAAAGCGUGGGGAUCAAACAGGAUUAGAUACCCUGGUAGUCCACGCAGUAAACGAUGAUCACUAGCUGUUUGCGAUACACUGUAAGCGGCACAGCGAAAGCGUUAAGUGAUCCACCUGGGGAGUACGCCGGCAACGGUGAAACUCAAAGGAAUUGACGGGGGCCCGCACAAGCGGUGGAGCAUGUGGUUUAAUUCGAAGCAACGCGAAGAACCUUACCAGGUCUUGACAUCGAGUGACGAACUUAGAGAUAAGUUCUUCCUUCGGGACACGAAGACAGGUGGUGCAUGGUUGUCGUCAGCUCGUGCCGUGAGGUGUCGGCUUAAGUGCCAUAACGAGCGCAACCCUUGCCACUAGUUACUAACAGGUAAAGCUGAGGACUCUGGUGGGACUGCCAGCGUAAGCUGCGAGGAAGGCGGGGAUGACGUCAAAUCAGCACGGCCCUUACAUCCGGGGCGACACACGUGUUACAAUGGCGUGGACAAAGGGAAGCCACCUGGCGACAGGGAGCGAAUCCCCAAACCACGUCUCAGUUCGGAUCGGAGUCUGCAACCCGACUCCGUGAAGCUGGAUUCGCUAGUAAUCGCGCAUCAGCCAUGGCGCGGUGAAUACGUUCCCGGGCCUUGUACACACCGCCCGUCAAGCCAUGGGAGCCGGGGGUACCUGAAGUCCGUAACCGCGAGGAUCGGCCUAGGGUAAAACUGGUGACUGGGGCU